CAAAAGUGGAGGGCGAAGUAAACACCGCCAGGUUUGGCCAAAAUACCUCUACCCCCAACCCUAGAUUAACCUACUUUGUCCCCAAUCCCCCAGUAGCCUCGCCGCCAGUAACGGUUAUCCGAGCCCCAUCUCAGCUCCCUGUUACCAACACCCACGCCAUACCUUGGAACUACAAUUUCCAAGUCUUCACUCAAGAAGCAUCCAGCAGUACAGCAACUCCUAACCUCGCCUAUACUUCACCCUCGACACCCCUUAAAUCGUGCUUCGCCCCCCACGAGCACUUCAGAAUGACUUACACCGGACCCUCCAGCAAUGCUACUCCCCAACCAAACCCCAAACCUGUCACGACUAGUAGCUCCUACCCACCUGAGCAAGAGAUAGAAUUUAUAACCCGAAGUGGGAGA
rnacentral:misc_RNA from 1 species